CCACCCUCUCUCGGCCCCCACUCCCAAGGAAACCAUUUGGUAGCCGAGCAAAAGCAAAGCAAUGCAGAAACGCUACAGACACUUGGUCAGAGACCCAGUGGGCACGGCCAGAAAACACCGUGCCUGCUGUCUGGUGAGGAGCUCGCGUUUUUGCUGCGCUGGGCCGCGCGCUGCCAAAGAGGCCGAUAAGCCAGAUUUCCCAGGUGUGCAUCCAAGGAGACGGCAGUGUUCCCAGCAACUAAGAUCCGCAGUCAGCCGCGGGAGCCCAGAGUCCGGUGAAUGGGUAAGGACGACGCGGCACCCGUGCACCGUGACAUGGCACUCAGCCGCCAAGGAAGGGUGAGCUCCUGUCGUUUGCAACCAGAUGGACAGAGCUGGCGGGAGUGUCCGGUGAAAACAAAGCGAACAUACACAAGUGCUGUGUGUUCUGUGUCAUAUUUGGAAACCACACAGUCAACCUGAAAGGAGAAAGUGCUUACUAAGGACAGGAGAGAGUGCCUGUGUUAUGCGUGGAAAUACUGCUCUGGACUCUAUGAUUAUGUACAGCUAAUACACAUUAAUGAAGUAACAGGAAAGAGCAAACCCUGCUCAUAUGUCCUAUUAUGUCUUUCUUUUUAGAGAUAAUCUUUACAAUAAAGUGUCACAGUUCAGAUGAUAGAGCGCUGGUGGAUGUGCUGAGACACACUGCUGUGCUAUUUUGUUUUUAAUUAAACUUUCUGCCUGAUGUGCAUUCUUUA